UGUAGCGAUUACAACACCUUUAAUGCUCCAGUUUCCAAUGAAUCACUGGUGUUAAGCCAUUUUGUGCGAGGUUGGUAUUCGGAUGGGUGACCAUCUGGACACUCGGAUACAGCUGGCU
rfam:Asian citrus Psyllid, Diaphorina citri - Florida Strain, whole genome shotgun sequence.